UCUGAAGGAUAAAUCCCCAAAAGAGUAGCUGGAGUUUAGUACCAUUUGUAAUUUUGAUAUAUAUUGCCAAAUUGUCAUCCUUCCUAAAAGUAAUAUAAGAAGGGCUUAUCUCCUCAUAGCUCCUCAUAGCAUAUCUCCUUAUCUCCUCCUUGAGAAAGAGUAUGUUAUCAAACUACUCCAUCGUUUGAAUUUCUAUUUCUCUCAUUUUGAGUAUGGUAUGGCAUUUUUUUUUCAUAUAUUUUGUUUUGUUUUGUUUUGUUUUUUGUUUUUGUUUUUUUCAUAUUUUUAAAGAUACUAUAUUUCCUUUCCUGUGACCCAUCUGAUCAUAUCAACUACCCAUUUUUCUAUUGGGUUUCCUUUUUAUCAUCAAUUUCUAGAAACCUCUUACUAUAUUAGAAAACUUGACUCUAUGUCUGUAAGUUGAAAGUCCUCCCAGUUUCUCAUUUGCCUUUCGGCUUUGCUUAUGAUUUUUUUCCGUGCAAAAUUUUUUAAUUUCAUUUUUUCAUUUAGUCAAAUGUAUCCUUCUUUUUAAAACUUUCUGGAAUUUGAAUCAUAGUAUAAAAGACUAUUUCAAGAUUAUCAAGGCAUUCUUUCAUGCUUUCUACCAACACUUCUGUGGUUCCCUUUUUUAAAUUUGAAAUUACUAAUAUAUUUGAAAUUUAUUGUAACUUAUGAUAUGAUGUAUGGAGCUAUGCUGUUUUUAAUCAUAACUUAUUUUCCCAAAGAGAAAUCAUAUCUUAAAUAGAUCAUUCUCAACUUAAAAUACUACAUCUUUUUAAAAUUCAUUAUUUUAAGAGAGCAUGACUCUGUGUAUCAUUUAUAUUUUCAGUGUGUGUCUAAUACAAUGUCUUCACACAUUAUUUUAAAAGCCAUAAAAAAGCAGUGAAAAAGUCACAUAAAAUAAUAGUGGCCAAGUAAUUCCAAACCACCCUUUUCCAAACUCAACAACAGGAAAUGCUGAAAUAAUCUCAAGUAAAAUGCAGAGCCUUUUUAUUCCCUUUUAGUGAACUGACUUAAAUGUUUAUGCUUAGAUUAGCCAAUUUAUUAAGAUCCAUAACUCUAUGUUUUUUAAAGAUUUCAGAAAAUCCAAUCUGUUAAAUACUCCAGUCCACAAAAUUCCUGUAGUAAGCUCUAUGAGAACUGCACAUCAUAAAUGUGCAGUAGGGGAAACACCUGAAUGGACUCAUGGGAAGCUCUCCCAAAAAGUAGCACAGCUUUCCUAUAUAUCUUCACAGUGGUUUGGCAGCUAUCACGGUAGUAACAUCCUGUCCUACUUGCCUUAACUCACUGACAAAUGUAGAGAAGAUGGUCAAGAGCUAAGUGGAGUAAUUGUGUUGAGAUGCUCCACAUCCCAUUUUCUUCUUGAAAUCAAGGAACACAUGCUUCUAACCAUGAUCGCUGGCUUCAUGAAAUGACUAUUUAGAGAUAGGCCUGAUAAAGUUUCAUCUUCCUGUAGAACUGGGCUUAGCCUGAAGCUAUUGAUUGCAAAGAUCCUGAAAGUUUGGGAAUAGUGGAUAUGUACAGUCUGUCUCUAAUUUGAAAAUCCCUGAGCAUUGCCCUCUUUGAAUGAGUAGAUGUUUACUUAACAUAAUACUGGUGGAGAAUUCCAAGCACGGUAAAUAGUAUGGUGCAAAAGAAACAGGUUCAUAUGCAGGUAGAACCGAGUUAAAUAGAAAAAGGGUUAGGAGAACAAGGGGAAAGUUAUUAAAAGCAACAACAAUAUCACUGGACUGAUAUUGGUAGAACCAAUUCUACCUUAAAUUUAUUGUAUGACAUCUAGCAAGAUAGACCAUUUAUGGGUCUCCAUUUAUAUACUAAUAACAAGAGCAAUUUAGAUUAUUUAAUCUCUAGGAUCUUCCAGUAGUGGCAUCCGUUAUUCUCAGGGAUGUAAGAACAGAGGUAGUUUUUGGUUCAGAUGAGGGGGCCAUACCUGAAGGAUAAUAAUAAAACUUCUUUUGUUUUGUGUGUGAGUGUGUUUUUUAAUUCAAGUGUUAAUAAUAAUCUGUCAGUUUCCACUAAUCAAAUAUGUUUACAAUUAGUAAAUAUUCUCAUCAUUAUUCCAAGUUAAAAAUAUGUAUAGUCACAUAUUUUUAGAUUUUUGUUUAAAUUUUGAAGUAUAUAGUUUGUUUUACUACUCUUGAGAAAAGUUUGUUAAAACAUGCCUAUAAUGCUCAUUAAAUGACAAAAGAGCAAUUGUGAUAAAAUAAGGUUCAAAAUUCCUUGUUCCAGGAAAAUGUUUUCAAUUACCCUUUAGUAAAUAAGUUGUGUAAAAAUCGCUAUUUUUUUUCUGAGACCAACUAAAAUCCUCCAUAUAUAAUCAAUAAGGGAAAUAAGUGUAUAGAGACUCCGUAAACAAACAAGUUCACAAAAGUAGACAAUCUGAAGGGUGU
rnacentral:lncRNA from 1 species